rnacentral:misc_RNA from 1 species
AAUUAAAUAAGACCAAAAAAAUAAAUUAAAAAAAAGGCAAUAAAAAAAAAUCAAAUAUUUAAUUUUCCCAUAUUUCGGCAUUUAAAAGCUAAAAAUAGACUAUAGAAACCAGCUUUCCACGAAAAGUGGUUGCCCCACACUGCUCCACACGACCAACAUUGUGAUGUGGAUAUGAGGCACUGCCACUAGUGGAAAGCUGAAAUAGACAUUGCAAAAAUAAAAGAUUAACUAUACGCAAUUUAUAGAACACAGAUCAUUGCAUUGAUGGAUCAAGUGUGGAAUACAUUGAGCCACAACCAUAACUACCAUUGCUUAAAGGACUAACAGGACUCCGCCUAUCCCAUGUUAAGUCCUUCGUGAGGCCUUUCCCCUCUCCAGGGUUAUCAUCCACCGCUGCCUUUGAAGUUCGCUUUCCCUUGAAUACUCCCCACAAAUAAAAUUUUGCCUGGAAUCCUGCAAACCAAUUUAAAGAAGGGGACAAUUAAAUCGAGGUCCUUUAAAGCUAUAGAGGUAAAAUAGCUCUUCAACAAAAAAAUAAUUGGCGUUACUCCAAAACUCCAUUGGCAGUAUUCUAGAAGUGAAAAUCAGUAGUUCUGCAUUUUGAACAUCCACUCUCAUGGCCAGUUCUUGGCUGAUCAUCUCAUUCACUAGACUAUCAAAAACCUUUUCAUUCCUAAUAUAACAGAAGAAAAAUCUUUAUAAGGAAUCAACUGAGAAAACAUGAUAAUGGAAGAGAAAUCUAAUCCAUAUUUGUCAAAACCACCACCUUUCACUGUCUGGAAAAAAAUAAAGAGCAAUACUGUCAUCAUUUGGCCCCGACUUCUCGAAACCCUUAGGCCAGACAGCAGCCCUAGGAAGUAAUUCAGGUGAAAGCAAUGUUGGCAAUGACUUUGCUUCCUCACUAGCUUUAGGGCAUGCUAUGCUAGAUACAUGAGCAACAAGUCCCACCACUGUACCAAAUUUUUUUUCCAGAAGGCUCAAGCUUCCCCUCCAAAUAGGAUCUUUUAUCGGCUGCGCAUGGACUACAAUGUUUGGGAUGUAAGAAACAACCAGCUGAGAGUUGUUAGUCCUGCAAGGUUCAGCCACUUCACAGGAGCUGCCUUCAUCCAAAUUGUUCAGUCUCCUAAGCUUCAGAUCUUUCUCUCCAUCCUUGAAGCAAUCCAUCUCAAGAGGAUGACUAUCACACCUAGCCAGUUGAGUGUUCUUGGUUUUUGGAGAAUCACCCUCUCCAUUGAAGCUGCUCUUACCUAAACCAUUCGGUCUUUCAGCCUCUCCACUGAAGCAGUCCUCCCCAAGACCAUUCCAUCUUUCAAUUUUUUGUUCUAUCUCCCCAGGCUCAGGAUAAUUCACUUCCAACGGUAUAGUCACUGAAGAGUUAUUGAUUUUAAGACAUUCAGCUUCUUCAUGGAAGCUGCUCUCAUUGAAAUCAUGUUUCCUUCCAUGCUUCUCAUCUUUCUUUCCAUCCUUACAGCAAUUCAUCUCAAGCAAUUGAAGGUCAACAACAUUCGGUCGACAGUUUUUCCUUUUAAGAGAUUCAACUGCUUCAUCCAAGCCACACUCAUCCAUUCCAUUUUGUCUCGCAAACUCCUGAUCUUUCUCACUAUUCUUUGAGCAAAGCACCUCAUUAAGAUGAAGAAAGGAGGUUUUCCUACGUUCCAAAACCCUUGACUUAGAGCAAGAUUUAACUUUUCUCUUAGAUUUCUUUUUCAAUUUAUUGACAUGAUUCCUUUUCUUCACUUUUACACUUUCAAAACUUUCAGUGUCGUUUUCGCUGACCUGGAAAGGGCUAAGUUUGUCAAGAAAGGAUGAUGUUGCAACCUUUGGUUCACAAUCCUCACAUAACCAUUCCGCAUAUUCAUCAAAAGUUGCUGGUAAUACAUCUAAGCAAUAACGAUGCACAGCAUAAGCCUGGCAUGCCCGACAAAAAAUCAAAAGCUCAGUCCAGCCUCUGUCACCACAUUUCUGACAAAUAGUCACCAUGGUGAAAAGAAAGAAAAGGGCCCAGCAUAAAUCCAACGAAUGUUCUCGAGAGAACCCAGAAAGCAAAACGACACCAAUUGAACUUAUUUAAGAGUUUCAAUUCAUCAAUGUUAGCGAAGAAAACCUCAUCAGCACCUCGCACUCAAUUAUGGCGUCCCAAUGUGAUCAGUUCACAGAAAUAUUAAAAAAAAAAAAAAAGUCAGAGAAAUCAGAGUUCUUUUGGAUGAGAAUCUCUGAACCUCCCCUUUUUUUUAUGGCAAGAAAUCUGUAAACCCAAUGGGAGAGAAUUUUUUUUUCCAAUUUAGGGUUUUUGAAUUACAACUUUUUGGGGGAUUUUACGUCUGUUGAUUUUCUUUUCUAAAU